UGCUCCUGUAGCCUAGUGGUUAGAGUAUCCGUCUCAGAUGUGAGAGGUCUUGGGUUCGAUCCCCGGUCGAGUAA